rnacentral:misc_RNA from 1 species
UUCGAGCGUCAUUUCAACCCUCAAGCAUAGCUUGGUCUUGGGCUUCGCCGCUAACCCGGCGGGUCUUAAAAUCAGUGGCGGUGCGUCGGGCCCUGAGCGUAGUAAAUCUCCUCGCUAUAGGGUCCCGGUGGAUACUGGCCAGCAACCCCCAAUUUUCUAUGGUUGACCUCGGAUCAGGUAGGGAUACCCGCUGAACUUAA